rnacentral:rRNA from 1 species
GAAGCCGGAGUUGCUAGUAAUCCCGGAUCAGCACGCCGGGGUGAAUACGUUCCCGGGCCUUGUACACACCGCCCGUCACACCACGAAAGUCGGCAACACCCGAAGCCGGUGGCCCAACCCUUGUGGAGGGAGCCGUCGAAGGUGGGGUCGGUGAUUGGGGUGAAGUCGUAACAAGGUAGCCGUACCGGAAGGUGCGGCUGGAUCACCUCCUU